AAUCUUCAACUUACAAGCUCUUUGCGGGGUUUGUAGGCUUGGACUUGGAGGCUUGUCGGCCUUUAACGGUCGGCUCCUCUUAAAUGCAUUAGCUUGAUUUCCUUGCGGAUCGGCUGUCGGUGUGAUAAUGUCUACUCCGCGACCGUGAAGCGUUUGGCAAGCUUCUAACCGUCUCGUUACAGAGACAGCUUUAUGAC
rnacentral:misc_RNA from 1 species